rnacentral:rRNA from 1 species
UACGUAGGUGGCAAGCGUUGUCCGGAAUUAUUGGGCGUAAAGCGCGCGCAGGCGGUCCUUUAAGUCUGAUGUGAAAGCCCACGGCUCAACCGUGGAGGGUCAUUGGAAACUGGGGGACUUGAGUACAGAAGAGGAAAGCGGAAUUCCACGUGUAGCGGUGAAAUGCGUAGAGAUGUGGAGGAACGCCAGUGGCGAAGGCGGCUUUCUGGUCUGUAACUGACGCUGAGGCGCGAAAGCGUGGGGAGCAAACAGG